rnacentral:antisense_RNA from 1 species
AGGCAUGAGCCACCAUGCCCGGCCCUAAUUUUUUUUUGUUUUGUUUUGUUUUUAAAGAGACAGGAUAUUCUCUGUCGCCCAUACUGGAGUGCACUAGUGAUCACGACUCACUGCAGCCUUGAAUUCCUGGGCUCAGGUGAUCCUCUCACCUCAGCCUCCUAAGUAGCUGGGACUACAGGCGUGCACCACACAUCCUGGCUAAUUUUGUAUUAUUUAUUUAUUUAUUUUUGAGAUGGAGUCUGUCUCUGCCACCCAGGCUGGACUACAGUGGCGUGACCUUGGCUCACUGCAACCUCCGCCUCCCAAGUUCAAGCACUUCUCCUGCCUCAGCCUCCUGAGUAGCUGGGAUUACAGGAGCAUUACCAUGCCCGGCUAAUUUUUGUAUUUUUAGUAGAGAAGGGGUUUCACCAUGUUGGUCAGGCUGAUCUCGAACUCCUGACCUCAGGUGAUCCACCCUCCUUGGCCUCCCAAAGUGCCGGGAUUGCAGGUGUGAGCCACCGCGCCCAGCCACUUAACGUGUCAUUUUCACUCAACUAUAUUAUGAAGAAUAUUUCCACAAUGCAGGAGGCUGAGGCAGGAGAAUGGCACGAACCCAGGAGGUGGAGGUUAGUAUUUUGUGACGUGAAAAUUAUGUGAAACUCAAAUUUCAGUGUCCAUAAAAAUUUUUUUUUUUGUUUUUGAGACAGAGUCUCGCUCUGUCACCCAGGCUGGGGUACAAUGGCAUGAUCUUGGCUCACUGCAACCUCUGCCUCCCAAGUUCAAGCGAUUCUCCUGCCUCAACCUCCCGAG